rnacentral:pre_miRNA from 1 species
UGUGUACUCCCUCUGUUCCAAAAUACUUGACUUCCAUUUGUCCAAAAAUGGAUGUACCUAUAUACUAAGACAUGGAUGCAAGUUUUGACAAAUAGAAGGCAUGUAUUUUAUUGUGUACUCCCUCUAGAUACAUAUAUAUUUUGACAAAUAGAAGGCAUGUAUUGUGCAACAGAGGGAGUAGAAU